rnacentral:ncRNA from 1 species
UUUUAGAGAUUACAAUUAAAAGGGAAUCAGGUGUAAGUCCUGAACAGUCCCGCUGCUGUAAAUUCCAUUUAGGUUAUAGACACAACUACUCAUUGCCACUGGUAAAAACCGGGAAGGCUGUCGUUAACCGGAAUAAGUCAGAAGACCUGCCAUACAUUCUU